AAAAUCACUUGAUUGAUUAAUGCUUUCAAUUAAAUAUAACAAAAAAUAUAUAUAUCAAUUCACAGAGUUCUAGCUUACCAAGGUUCUAUCAGGAUUGAGGAUCAUUAUUAGUCUUUUGCAUUCAUGGAAAAAUUGACACAUACCCUUCAGCCAUUCUAGUUCUACUCGUGCGGAGCAAACCUUUUCGUGAGCUUGGCAAUCUCUUUGGAACUCAAUCCAAAAGCUUUCUCCAGAAGCUCUUCUUUAAUUCCUGAGCCAAAUACAGCCACUGGGAUUCUUUGCAAUCCAGGAUUUUGGCUAUUAAAACUACCCAAUAUAGUUGCUGGUUUAUCUCCAAUGUUCAUUUGGAAAUGCACUAGACCUCUAGGGAAUACCAUUACCUCACCUUUUUCAAUCACCUUAGCAAAAAUUCGAUUCUGCGUAUCGACAAAUCCUGAAUAUAUUUUCCCCUCUAGAACAAAUGCGACCUCAGUUGCUCUUGGAUGGAAAUGAGGCACAUUGACGCCUCCAACAUCAAAAUCAGCUCUUACUAGUGACAUGCCUAAUGUGUUCAGACCAGGAAACACAUUCACAUUUACUGGAAUGGAAGAUAGCCCUGUUUCGUCGAAUUUUCCAGUAGAUUUUUUGAUCCCAGAAACUACAAAAUCUUCUACUGUGGCAGCUGAUGAGUUCUUGCAGGAACUAUGAGUUUCAGAAUCUGUAUUAAGUAUGCAGAAGUCUCUGAGAGGAUCAGGGUCAGAAGCAAAGGUGAAAUAGCCAUUGAAAAGCAAGAAAAACAGAACUGUUACCUUUAUAAUUAAGGACAUUACUAUGCAGGGCUCUAUGGACCUACUGACAUAGAAUGCAAAAUGAAGUACUAACGUAAGACAUAUAUACAGUUCUUUCUGCAGUAUGCAGCUUGCUUAAGAAGAAAGGAAAGAGGAUUAGUUGGAUACAAAUGCUUGUGAGAGUUUUUAAAUUCAAAAUUGGUUAAAGCAAAGGAUGAGUUGUGUUGAUGGAUUUGAUUAUUGAACAAAGAGUAUACCCAAAGAUAUAAAAUUGCCAAUACUUCAACUAAACUCAAAGAUUCUAAUCUCCA
rnacentral:misc_RNA from 1 species